GGAGUCAGCAACACUCAGCUGGAGGUUGUCCUUUUGGAGAUAGGCGAAGUGUUCAUUUUGGACCAGCAUCUUUAUAUGGACUGCUUUUGGGAAGAAAAAAUAUGCAGGGAUGGAAAACAUACGAGUUUUGGAUUUAACGCCAAGAGCUAAAGCUGUGAAAGCCGAAGCUCACAGAUGACGGGAGCGGCCCAGGGCCACACACACAGGUGAUAAAGCUGGCCAAAGAUCACAAGUCG